CCGGGCGGGCAGCUGUUAAGACUUGCAGUGAUGUUUAAUUCUUCUCUAUGUGAACAUCACAACAAGUCUAUACAGUUUCCCGGCUCCAU
rnacentral:pre_miRNA from 15 species